rnacentral:rRNA from 1 species
CGUCCUACGGGAGGCAGCAGUGGGGAAUAUUGCGCAAUGGGGGAAACCCUGACGCAGCAGCGCCGCGUGAGUGAAGACGUAUCUCGGUAUGUAAAGCUCUAUCAGCGGGGAAGAAGGAAGACGGUACCCGACUAAGAAGCCCCGGCUAACUACGUGCCAGCAGCCGCGGUAAUACGUAGGGGGUGAGCGUUAUCCGGAUUUACUGGGUGUAAAGGGAGCGUAGACGGCGUCGCAAGUCUGAAGUGAAAGCCAGUGGCUCAACCGCGGAACCGCUUUGGAAACUGCGAGGCUGGAGGGAUGGAGAG